GCGAGAGGGUGAGCAAGAGCAGGAAUCUUGCUUGUCCUGUUCCCCUGCAUAUCCAUAAAGCCAGGCGCAGAGCCAUGCUUGUAACAAUUGUUUGAAUGGCUGAAACAGAAUGGAAGCUUAUGGAAGCCUUCCCAGUGAAGGGGACACUUGACUUGAGCCUGAAGGACGCUGAGGGUGAGGCAGGUUCAAACGUAUACAAGUCCACUUAACUGCAAAUUUCCUGAGGAAGGUGGCCCCCCUGGCGUGGCAGCUGGCUCACGGGAGGACAGAAGCAACAAGCAUGAGGAGAGCUCCAGCAACCACAUUGGACCCUGAGGCAACCUGGAUAAAAGCUCCCUGCCGAGGGUGACAGAACAAAAAGACAGAGAAACUUAUGAUCCUCACUGCUAACAUACAGGCUGCUGUGAAGAAAGAGAAAACCACCUUUGGGACUAUACCACAGUUAUUUUGAGUCUCCUAUUUGUGCAACUGAUUUUAAUUCUAAUUAACAUACUUCAUCCCAACAGUUUUCUGUUGUACACUAAGUCAAUUUGUAAUAUGGAAACCGUAUUUUUUUAUACUAUGAAGUAACAUUAGGAACCAAAAGCCGUAGUUUAGGCAAGUCAUGGACGGUAUAUCUCUACACCUCCCUGCAUUACCUCAGUUCAGCUUAUCUAAACAACUCAUAUUCACACAGGAGAAGUCACGUUCCAAACUGAUCUGCAAUCGAAGAAACCCAAGGAUGGUAGUUACGUAUAACGCAUCCCCCGUCCAAGGGAGGGGCCUCUGCUCCAAGCUGCGCCAGCACCUGAGCUGGUGGAUUACCUCCGAGGGGAGAGAUGUGCGCGAACCCCAGUGACCACUCCCGGGCACCAGCGGAGGGGGGCGCUGUCCUGCACACUUCCAAAGCCUCAAGUUCUAAUCAGUCCCUCUAGCCACUCCGCCGUGGGCUUAAACAAGAUGCACGUUCUUUCCCUGAAGUGAAGCUUCAUGAAAAAACUUAAGAACAAGAUGGAUUGGGUGCUUGGCAGAGUCCCUGGUGGCAGUGAGAAGUGUUUGUGAAAUAUCGUGUUAAACCUUUUCCUCUGUAGCCCACAUGAGAGGUUUCUAAACCCCAGUCCUUUUCUAUUACAACAGUAAUAAUAUUGGCCCUCGUUGUAAUCCUUUGCGGCCUCUGCUGUCUGCGAUUUUCCCAACCCAGCAGCUCGGGCAUGUACUGCUUGAUUUGUUGAGUAUCAGAUCCCCCUGGGCAAAGAAAAAAAUGUUUCGUUUUCUUCUAGAUCACGUUUCUAACUAACAAAGAGGAGCUAUACUUUUUAGUAUUUGAGUUUAGUUUAGAGUGUUGUUGGGUGGGAGGAACUGGAUAUUGAGAACUAUCAGCUAGUCCCAUGAAGACCUUGGAAGUCCACUCUGCUACUGGGGCAGACACAUGCCCUGGGAGAGUCUGGCUGGUGGGCCAUCUUGCUUCCUGGAUCUCUGCAUGGGAGGGUGGA